AGUGAACGCUGGCGGUAGGCCUAACACAUGCAAGUCGAACGGCAGCACAGUAAGAGCUUGCUCUUACGGGUGGCGAGUGGCGGACGGGUGAGGAAUACAUCGGAAUCUACUUUUUCGUGGGGGAUAACGUAGGGAAACUUACGCUAAUACCGCAUACGACCUACGGGUGAAAGCAGGGGAUCUUCGGACCUUGCGCGAUUGAAUGAGCCGAUGUCGGAUUAGCUAGUUGGCGGGGUAAAGGCCCACCAAGGCGACGAUCCGUAGCUGGUCUGAGAGGAUGAUCAGACACACUGGAACUGAGACACGGUCCAGACUCCUACGGGAGGCAGCAGUGGGGAAUAUUGGACAAUGGGCGAAAGCCUGAUCCAGCAAUACCGCGUGGGUGAAGAAGGCCUUCGGGUUGUAAAGCCCUUUUGUUGGGAAAGAAAAGCAGCAGGUUAAUACCCCGCUGUUCUGACGGUACCCAAAGAAUAAGCGCCGGCUAACUUCGUG
rnacentral:rRNA from 1 species